rnacentral:lncRNA from 1 species
CCGUAAGGCGCGUACGGGCCUAACAGGCAACGAUGGACUUAGUUUCGACGCUCGUUAGGCCCGUACGCGCCUUACGGACGACGUCGACUAAAUAAUAUUUUUUUAUUAUUUAGUCGACGUCGUCCGUAAGGCGCGUACGGGCCUAACGAGCAAUAUUUUUUUAUUAUUUAGUCGACGUCAUCCGUAAGGCGCGUACGGGCCUAACGGGCAACGACGGACUUAGUUUCGAUGCUCGUUAGGCCCGUACGCGCCUUACGGACGACGUCGACUAAAUAAUAUUUUUUUUAUUAUUUAGUCGACGUCGUCCGUAAGGCGCGUACGGGCCUAACGAGCGUCGAAACUAAGCCCGUGUCGUUAACGACGGGCUUAGUUUCGACGCUCGUUAGGCCCGUACGCGCCUUACGGACGACGUCGACUAAAUAAUAUUUUUUCAUUAUUUAGUCGACGUCGUCCGUAAGGCGCGUACGGGCCUAACGAGCGUCGAAACUAAGCCCGUCGUUAACGACGGGCGCUUAGUUUCGAUGCUCGUUAGGCCCGUACGCGCCUUACGGACGACGUCGACUAAAUAAUAUUUUUUUUAUUAUUUAGUCGACGUCGUCCGUAAGGCGCGUAUGGGCCUAACGGGCAACGACGGACUUAGUUUCGACGCUCGUUAGGCCCGUACGCGCCUUACGGACGACGUCGACUAAAUAAUAUUUUUUUAUUAUUUAGUCGACGUCGUCCGUAAGGCGCGUACGGGCCUAACGAGCGUCGAAACUAAGUCCGUCGUUGCCCGUUAGGCCCAUACGCGCCUUACGG